CGUGCUACAAUGGGCGGGUACAAAGGGUACGCGAACCCGCGAGGGGGAGCCAAUCCCAAAAAGACCGCUCUCAGUUCGGAUUGCAGGCUGCAACUCGCCUGCAUGAAGCCGGAAUCGCUAGUAAUCGCGGAUCAGCAUGCCGCGGUGAAUACGUUCCCGGGCCUU
rnacentral:rRNA from 1 species